rnacentral:rRNA from 1 species
UUCGUACUGUGAAGCAUCCUGUUAAGUCAGGCAACGAGCGAGACCCACGCCCACAGUUGCCAGCGUACUCUCCGGAGUGACGGGUACACUGUGGGGACCGCCGCUGCUAAAGCGGAGGAAGGAAUGGGCAACGGUAGGUCAGUAUGCCCCGAAUCUCCCGGGCUACACGCGAGCUACAAUGGUUGGUACAAUGGGUAUCUACCCCGAAAGGGGAUGGUAAUCUCCUAAAUCCAAUCUUAGUCCGGAUUGAGGGCUGCAACUCGCCCUCAUGAAGCUGGAAUCCGUAGUAAUCGCGUUUCAACAGAACGCGGUGAAUACGUCCCUGCUCCUUGCACACACCGCCCGUCAAACCACCCGAGUAGGGUCUGAAUGAGAGCGCUUUCUUUGGAGGCGUUCGAAUUUGGGCUUUGCAAGGGGGGUUAAGUCGUAACAAGGUAGCCGUAGGGGAAUCUGCGGCUG